UUCCCUACUCACAGAGCGCUUCCGGUGGGGCCUGGUGUCAGCGCCGCGGCUAUGGCGGACCUGACAGACGCGGAGCUCCGGAGGGAGCUGAUAGCGCUCGGUUACCGGCCGGGGCCCAUCACCGCCACCACCCGCAAGGUCUACGUCAAGAAGCUGGGCUGCCUGCGGGCCGAGGUGGCGGCGGCCAAGCGCACAGGCCACGGCGCGCCGCUGAGCCCGGCCCGCACCCCCGCCAGGCCGCAGCAGGCCUCGCCCUCACGGCAGCGCUCCGGCUUCAACCUCAGCCCCGUCGGGGCCGCCCGCGACAGUGAGGAGGAGGAGGAGGAGGAGGAGGAAGAGGAGGAAGAGGAGGAGGAGGAAGGGGUGCAACCGCCCGCGUCCCGCUGGGGGACGUCUGGGGAGGGUGGUGGGCUGUCUUGGGGGGACUCCCGGGGGUCCCCCCCGGGCCGGGGCGGAGGACUCGGCUCCAGGGCUGAGGGAGGCCUGUCCCGGGACAGCUUUGGGGGGCUGAGCCCCUCGGAGCAGUGGGGGGCGUCUGUGGAGAGAAGUAGGGGGGCCGGGCUGGGGGCAUCCCUGGGUGGGUUUGGGGGGCUGAGCUCCCCCUCUCAGUGGGAUACGUCCAUAGAGAGAAGUGGGGGGCUUGGGGCUGGGUUGAAGCCAUGCCUGGAUAGGUCUGGGGGGCUGAGCCCCAUGUCUCAGUGGGACACGUCUGCAGAGAGAAGCAGGGGCCUUAGCACUGGGCUGGGGGCGUCCUUGGAUGGGUUUCGGGGACCAAGCUCUGCAUCCCAAUGGAGCACGUUUACAGAGAGAAGUGAGGAGCUGAACGCUGGGUCGGAGCCAUCCCUGGAUGGGUUUCGGGGCUCAGGUUCCUCGUUGCAGUGGGGCAUGUCAACAGAGAGAAGUGGGGGUCUCAGCACUGGGUUGAGGCCGUCCCUGGACAGGUUUUCGGGGUCGAACUCCACAUCCCAGUGGAGCCCAUCUGUAGAGAGAAGUGGGGGGCUCGGCAUCAGGGCUGGGUCAGGCACAUCCCUGGAUGGGGCUGGGGGCCUGAGCUCCACAUCCCCAUGGGGUACCUCCACAGGCAGGAGCGGGGGGCUCAGCUCCAAACCCCUUUCCAGCGAUGAGACUGAGGGUCUAAAGUCCAGGAGCCAUUGGGGCAUGUCGGGAGGAGGAAUUGGGGGGCAAAGCUCCCGAGCUCAGUGGGAGACAGCAGGGGAAAAGAAGGGGCUCUUCUCUAACAGCUUGUGGAGGCAGGAAAGCGAGGUGACACCCAGCACCCACUGGGGCACCUUGGCGGGACCUGGGGCUUUGAGUCACCAGUUUGGGAGAGGGAAAGAGGACUUGGCUUCCAGUGUUCGGAAGGAGGCAGACAGGGAUCUGAACCCUGGUAGCCGCGGAGGGGGAUUGAUCCGGCGGUUCCCAUGGAGGGCUACGGGCGAUGCAGGGGUGGCCUCAGGGAGCCGGUGGGAAGCGUCGGGGGCAGGACAGGGAAUAACCUCCCGCACUCACUUAUUGAGGUCAGCCCCCAAGCAGCAGACGGAAGGAAAGGGCAAAGGCCUUGAAUACUAUCUCUCCCAGUUCCUUUGCUUCGCCAGCUUUGUGCUGCUGCUGAUUUUUCUGGGCAUCCUCGCAGUGAAGAUGAUUGGGUCAGGCUGGCUUGACAGGAGAGAGGAGAACUUUAAUCUCUUGCCUGUGGAUUGUGACAAAAGAACGGAUGAUUUCUGUCGAGCUAAACAGAAGGACAUAAUAAUGAACGUGCUGCACGAGUUGUAUAACUACUUGUCCAUACAAGCUGGUAAUUUUGAAUGCGGAAACCCUGAGAAUCUAAAAAGCAAAUGCAUUUGGGUUAGUGAAGCGAGGGAUCACGUGGUGAAUAUAACUGGUAGUUCCCCACAGAAGUUUGAAGCUGCCCUGCACUGGAUACUAAACAGUAACAAGGAUUUAGGAAUAUGGUUGAAAGGCAGAGACCUUUCGGAACCAGUUACCAAAGUGGAGGAAGUGUUCUGUCUCGAAUCAGCCCAUCCUCAGAUGGGGCUCGGCUGCCGUUUCCGUCGGGCAGUGGUCACUGCCAUUAUGAACCUUUUCCUGUUUUUCUGGUGUCUGGUAACUCUUUGGGGGAUCCUAAUCUUCCUUAGGUAUCGCUGGCGGAAGAUGGAGGAGGAAGAACAAGCCAUGUAUGAAAUGGUGAAGAAGAUCAUAGCUGUUGUCCAGGACCACUAUAAGGAAUGGGAACGGAAUUUGGAGCGUUACCCCUAUGUUGGCAUUUUCCACGUUCGGGACAGCCUCAUCCCUCCUCAAAGCAGAAAAAAAAUGAAGCGGGUCUGGGAGAGAGCUGUGGACUUUCUGGCUUCAAAUGAGUCACGGAUUCAGACAGAGUCGCACAGAGUAGCAGGAGAAGAUAUGCUUGUGUGGAGAUGGACUCAACCUUCUUAUGUCUCGGAUUCAGAGCACUGAGGAGGAGCGAAGUUGAGCAACUGUUGAUAUGGACCUCUGCAAGGGGACGGUCCCUUCUCUGGUGGUGGGAAAGAGCAGGUCAUGGUCCUAAUCUCCUAGGCUUGGGGAUUGUGCAUAUCUGUUUGCUCUUCUUUCUGAAAAUCUUCACACACAAAACUUCAGGGCAAUAAUGUUGGCUUGGAAAGAAGAUGGGCUUGAGCUGGUGGGAAGCUAGAAUUGCACCAAAGUUAGCCUUCCAGCAGAUAUCUGGCUUCCGUAGAGAAGCAAACCUAGAACAACUUUUUAAAAAGGAAAAAAAAAAGCAUACCUAAUAUCAAGGGACUUGGGAUCUCUCUGACAAAGCUUAGGUAUUUAAAAUUUGACCUCAAUUCUGCAAAGGCCAACUGGUGGCAACGUCCAUCAGGGAAUGUGUUUGAAGAAGAUUAACAUUUCCCAUGGAAACAUUAGGGUGGCAGUUAAGAUGCAUUUUAUUAGAAUUUGUUUUUAUCUGUACAAAAACAUUGAUGAAAGCACUUGCUGCUUCCUAGCGAGGAAAUUGUUUGUGUCGGCUUCACCCUUUAAAAAUGGGGGAGAGGAGGAGAAGGCAGGUGAAGGUAGUCCUAGAGGGAGGGCAGUCUGAUGUGCCUUGGUCGUUUGGGCUGGGUUGGGUGGGAUGGAGGAGUGGUUGUGACCCUGUUAUAACUUCUAAGUCUGCAGUCUCUGUGCUUUAUGAUUUCUCGGGGGUGGGGAGAAUUUGGGUGGAAAAUAAAGGAUCUAGGAAGCUUCAGAAAGCGCUUUCUUGUGGCUACAGCCAAAGGGACUGCUUCAUGGGCUAUUAAAGAGCAGCUUUGGAAAGGCUAUUAGGGCUGAAUGUACAUGUUUAACCUGGGCAGCUGCAAUGUGUGUGCUGUAUGUCAGAGCAGAGAUGUACCACGCUUGGAGUGUCAGUACAGGGAUUGCCAAGUCAGUGUUCCUGCAGCCUCACAAUAGGUACAAGGAGCAGCGAUGAAUCCUCUGUUUGUGCUACAGGCAUUGUAUUUUGUAUCUAUAAUAAUUUGGUUACUUAAGUUUCUUUUUAUGUCCAGCAAAUGAGUGUUUGUUUCAAAGAAAAUAGCACCAGUGUGUGGCAGUUUAGGCUAGGCAGAGAUACUGCUGAUCUACUCUUCCCAAUAUUGUAAAACAGCCGUCCAGCUCACCACUAAGACAGCAGGGACCAAAUUAAUUUCUGGCAUAAGCUAGUAAAACCUGCAGAAAGAAGCCAGCAUUGAUUUGAACCUGGGUAACCAGUGGAUGUUGUUCAUAGCAUCAUGGGUACAGUGUGAAUGCUUUCAUUCACCUCUGAUGCUGGAUGCACGGAGAACUUCCUCUUCAGGCUCUGGGUUAGCUUACGAUGGCUGCCGAAGCCCUGCUCCCUGCUUUGCAGGCUGGUGAUGCCAUGUACAAGGUUGGUUCCUUCUGCUAGUCCCUGCUCACCUCCCGGUAUGAAGUCUGCACUUCUCUGCCCCACUGCUGGCUUUGGUGGGGUUUUCCAACUAUGUACCCCGCAGGCUGCUGUGGAAGGACUGCAGAGACUCCUUACAUACCUCCUGCUGGUGGUCAUCAACUAAAAUGAGUGGAGAGAGCAGAUUUCUCCAGGAACAGAACAUGGGGAGAUCUUUCCCAUUAAAUGGGAAAUACCCUGCAUGGAGUUGACUCUUACCCUGUAUUUUCUUUUUGGUUGCAAGGGUAGGGCAUUUGAACGGAAGAAGAGACUCAACAGCUGUCUUCAAGACAAUGACCAGCUUCUUCCACUGUUAAUAAAAUAGGGGAUAAAGUGAAGGCAGCCUUGAUUCUUCUAAAAUGUUGUAAUGAGAUUGUCACCGCUGCAGUAGGAAUUUUUGCCAACACUGGUGCCUACGUUCUUAAGCCUUUUUAAAAUAUUUGUAGGGUUUGGGUUAGCUUUUUUAAACCAUCCAAAUCCAGAAGUGAAGAGUCAGGCAUUGCAGUCAUCUUUUUUGUAUUAAACUUGUUUUUGUAGAAUAAGUUUCACUGGCUUGGUGCUGUUUAUAUGUUCAGUUUAGCUCUGUAAAUCAAUAUAUAAAAUAAAUUUAUUACAAAUAAUUUGUUACCUUUAUUUUUAUUGAGGAGUCACAGAUUGUUCCAACAGCUUUCGCUCAGGCAGAUCAAAUGGAUCCUGCGCCGGAGAGCUCACAGUUUCUAAGAAUAAGACCGAAGAUGGCAUGGGAAUGGCAUGACAGCCUAAUGAGACAACGUGGAUCCUUGUGACGCUCGGUGAUCUCGGCGCAAUAGCCAGCAGUCUGAAGUGUUUGGUUGCAAAUUAAAUCUGUUUUGGGAAUAGUUGGCAUUAAGCAGAGGUGUGUAUGAAAAGCAGUUAGCUUGUUUAGCUGCAUUUUGUAGAGAUUGACGGCUUGGGGGGUUGUGAAACUGUAAAUAUUAGUUUAGCAGGUGGAUCAGUAUUCCUGUGGCCCAUAAUAAAGCAGUUAUUUAAAGCAGGGAAUGGGAUGGUGCAAUAACUCUGUGGUAAGUGAAUGAGGGUGCCUCAAGCUUCAUGUGUUUUGCACUCAUUCUCUGAAAGGCAGAUCCCUCGCACGUUGGGUGUCUGAAGUCAACAGCUGCUGCAGAAAAUCUUGACUCUGGUCCAAGCUGCUGAUCCUUUGUGUUGUGGCAUCCUCAGGCUGUGGUUAGCUCGCCUGUUUUUUGGGACAUGAUGUGAAGUGCCAGGUGAUGGUAUAGGAAGACUGGGAAGUAAUGACGGAAGUGUUGGAUACGGUGCUGGAGUGGGAUGGAUGUCCCUUCCUGCUCUUGCUCCCAGGCUGUUGCUUGUCCUGGACACAUCGCUUCCCUCCUUGUGUCCCAAGGGUUAAUAUGUUUUAAGCAAGGCUAUUACAAAGCUCUGUAAAACAGGGGGAUAUGGGUCAUGGAAAAAGGUAAGAAGUCAAGUCUUAGCCUAUUUACCAGAUCCCCAAGGCUUCCAAGGUUGCCUGGUGAGUAGAAGACACAUAAGCACAUCUUGAUGACAAGUCUGACUUGACUUUAUGGUUCGUUUCCUUGAGCGUUUUCAAUUCCUCUCUCACCUGAGUGUCAGUGACUCAGAAUAUGUGCUACUGCGAGACUCAACUUCUUCAAAGUCUACUCCUGAAACGGCACGAGUAGUCCAUGAAUCAUCGUUGUGUAACUUCUGUGGACAUGGUUGACUCACUCAUGUUUGGCUAGAGAAAUGUUUAAUUAAUUUCAUAACGUAGGUCUGGGUGACAAAGGGGGAGAUUUCCACCAGCACAGAAGGAGGUUGGCUCCGUGGCUGCUGUGGAAGUUGGUGGGAGCUGGCUACUUCCUCUUUGGCGUUGAGUUGUUGCUAAGCUGAUGCUGUGCCUUAUUUAUGGGGUGCAGAGUCAGGGCUCUGUGCCAGUUCUCCUGGAAAGAUCAACGUGAACCGGAGAAGAAAAAGCAUGGCCAGUGAGUCCUGCCCGAAGGCAUCUCCCUCCGGCACAGCCCCUGUCCGAAGCAAUCACUCCCCAAUGCCUGCCGUGGGAUUUCCACCGUGACUUCAUUCAACCUUUAAAGAACAGCCUCCGGGGGCUUUUGGAGCAAUGUGCUAUAGCGCAUGAAGGACAGAGUAAGGGAUGUCGGGACUGCUUGCCUGUGCCACCCUCGUGGUGGGCACAGUGAAGGUGAGCUGGCUUGGAGACCUGCUCUGCCCUAUCCGUCCUGGAAAAGGAGGAGGGAACACCAAGACCAGCCUCACUUGGGGGACAGGAGAAGGGAGAAGCAGAUGCUGGGAACCAGCAUGUUCGUGCUGCUGGGACGGUCCGUGAUGCUGAGCAGUGGCCCACAGACCAUCGUCCUACGAUGCUGAGCCCUUUCCAGAAACGCAGGAGAGCCAGCUGGUGCCUGCAGCGAUCACCCUUGGCUUGCCAAAAGGCAAGAGGUGCUUCAGCCGUGGGACAGCUCUGGGCUGUCACCGGUACCCCUGUCCCAGAAGAGCCAGGAGGUUUGGUGGUAAGCCUAGCAGGGACCACAGCCCAGGUGGGAUGGAGAAGGCAGCAGCCGGGUCUGGGUCUGCACCGGCAUCCCCAGCUGUGACCAAAGCCCCAGGUCUGAGCUUGCUCUUCCUCGCUCUGCUGCCUCUUAAACUGAAAACCUCCAUCUCUCACCAGGGAUACCUUAUCAAGUGCGAGUUCUCCACAACCCUACAGCAGCAAUGUUUAAGGAUAACCUAUAGCUCAGCUGUUCAGCCAAGGGGAUGCAGUCAGGGAUGACAUGGUGGAGACGAGGAGGAGGGGAACGUGUUCCCCACAGCCAAGCAAGGCACCCUGGCUGGAAAAGUCGCUCAGUCUCCCUCAGCCCUGUGUUUUUUAUUCCCAGUCUGUCCUCUGCUCUGGCCUCCAGCUGCUCCAGGGCCCUCAUGGUGUGGGUGAUGCCGAGCAGAGACAAAUUGUGGCUGGGGACGUUUCACCCCAUCGCUGGAAGGCAGCAAUGUACCUUAGGGGAAUU